CGCACGGGUGAGUAACACGUAAGUAAUCUACCUUCGAGUGGGGAAUAACGUCCGGAAACGGACGCUAAUACCGCAUAAUGCAGCGGCACCUAAUGGUGACAGUUGUUAAAGGAGCAAUUCGCUUGAAGAGGAGCUUGCGGCAGAUUAGCUAGUUGGUAAGGUAACGGCUUACCAAGGCUACGAUCUGUAACCGGUCUAAGAGGACGGUCGGUCACACUGACACUGAAUAACGGGUCAG
rnacentral:rRNA from 1 species